CACCUAAAAGUAGAUGAAAAUGGGUUUCUCAAUGCCAAAGUCCAUUUGAGAAAGGAGGAAGAGAUAAUGCCAAACUCUGCGAAAAGACAGAUAAGAGCUUGGUGGAGGAAGUGUCCCAUUCCCAGUCAAAUGCUUGCAGACAGACAGAAACAAACUCCCUUAUCAUUCAGUUAAUUAACUAUUUGGAGUUUAGGGGACAGCGAAAAUGUCAAGGCUUUUUUAGUUUCGACAGAGUUUUGCAACAGAGAAAGGGGGCUCAUGGAAUUUGAUUUCACUAAUCUGUUGGGUGUGGACACGCACCCGUAACGGGAUGUUCUCUAGCUGCUUGAUAUUUCCGUUUCUUAUCUUUGGUUCAUGAUAUGGAUGUGUUCAUCGGAUGACAGUUCAUACACAAGCAGCGGAGAAGAAUUUCCUUGCUUUUCCCUUUCUUUCUUCAAGGCUUCAUGUUAUUUCGUUACCACUGCUGAAUAAUGCUUGGAAAAGUUUUACUGUUCCUGUUAUAAUGACGAUGAUGAUGAUCAAGAUUGACAUUUUUAUUAUCAUCAUGCCAAUAUGUUGAUAAA